rnacentral:rRNA from 2 species
UUAAGUGACGAUAGCCUAGGAGAUACACCUGUGCCCAUGCCGAACACAGCAGUUAAGCCCUAGAACGCCGGAAGUAGUUGGGGGUUGCCCCCUGUGAGAUAUGGAAGUCGCUUAGC